rnacentral:rRNA from 1 species
CCUACGGGAGGCAGCAGUGGGGAAUUUUGGACAAUGGGGGCAACCCUGAUCCAGCAAUGCCGCGUGAGUGAAGAAGGCCUUCGGGUUGUAAAGCUCUUUUGUCAGGGAAGAAACGGUGUUUCCUAAUACGGAAUGCUAAUGACGGUACCUGAAGAAUAAGCACCGGCUAACUACGUGCCAGCAGCCGCGGUAAUACGUAGGGUGCAAGCGUUAAUCGGAAUUACUGGGCGUAAAGCGUGCGCAGGCGGUUUUAUAAGUCUGAUGUGAAAUCCCCGGGCUCAACCUGGGAACUGCAUUGGAGACUGUAAGGCUAGAGUGUGUCAGAGGGGGGUAGAAUUCCACGUGACG